UACAGAGGUGGCAAGCGUUGUUCGGAAUUACUGGGCGUAAAGGGCGCGUAGGCGGCCUUCUAAGUCAGACGUGAAAUCCCCCGGCUUAACCUGGGAACUGCGUCUGAUACUGGGAGGCUUGAGUAUGGGAGAGGGAUGUAGAAUUCCAGGUGUAGCGGUGAAAUGCGUAGAUAUCUGGAGGAACACCGGUGGCGAAGGCGGCAUCCUGGACCGGCAUUGACACUGAGGAGCGAAAGCCAGGGGAGCAAACGGG
rnacentral:rRNA from 1 species